GGGCGAUUAGCUCAGAGGCAGAGCGCUACCUUCACACGGUAGAAGUCAGAGGUUCGAAUCCUCUAUCGCCCACCA
rnacentral:tRNA from 2 species